AAAAUAUUGAUGUUAAAAUUGAUGAUGAGGAUAAAGUUGUUUUGUUGGUUGUCUCUUUACCUUCUACCUACAAACAUUUCAAAGAAAUCAUGUUGUAUGGAAAUAAUGAUACCUUAUCCUUUGAAGAUGUUAAAUCUAAUUUAUUGUUCAAAGAAAAAUUUGAUCUUGAAGUUCAUUCUGUGGACAAGGGUGAGGGCUUAAGUGUUAGAGGUAGAACUCAAGAAAAAGGGAGUACCAGUCACAAAAAAUCCAGAUCCAAAUCCAGAGGACGCAAAUCCAACAAAACCUGUCGCUAUUGCAAGAAAUCUGGCCAUGAGAUUUCUGAUUGUUUUAUCUUGAAGAAAAAGCAAGAAAAACAAGAAAAAGGGAAAUCUCCAC
rnacentral:lncRNA from 1 species